rnacentral:rRNA from 1 species
CGGGGGUGUGGAAGGUACAUCAAAAAAAAAAAUCUUCCCUUGAGCGGGGGACAACGAGCCGAAAGGCUUUGCUAAUACCGCAUACGUUUCUCGGGACUCCGGUCCUGGGAAGGAAAGCUAGGCCGCAAGGUCCGGCACUCGAGGAGGAGCCUGCGUCGCAUCAGCUAGUUGGUGGGGUAACGGCCUACCAAGGCGAAGACGCGUAGCUGGUCUGAGAGGAUGAUCAGCCACACUGGGACUGAGACACGGCCCAGACUCCUACGGGAGGCAGCAGUGGGGAAUAUUGGACAAUGGGCGCAAGCCUGAUCCAGCCACGCCGCGUGAGUGAUGAAGGCCUUCGGGUCGUAAAGCUCUGUGGGGAGGGACGAACCGCCGUUAGUUCAUAGCUAACGGCAUGACGGUACCUCCUUAGCAUGCACCGGCUAACUUCGUGCCAGCAGCCGCGGUAAUA